CGAUAAGUAAUGUGAAUUGCAGAAUUCAGUGAAUCAUCGAAUCUUUGAACGCACAUUGCGCCCGCCAGUAUUCUGGCGGGCAUGCCUGUUCGAGCGUCAUUUCAACCCUCAAGCACAGCUUGGUGUUGGGACUCGCGUUAAUUCGCGUUCCUCAAAUUGAUUGGCGGUCACGUCGAGCUUCCAUAGCGUAGUAGUAAAACCCUCGUUACUGGUAAUCGUCGCGGCCACGCCGUUAAACCCCAACUUCUGAAUGUUGACCUCGGAUCAGGUAGGAAUACCCGCUGAACUUAAGCAUAUCAAUAAGCGGAGG
rnacentral:rRNA from 1 species